GACAUAGGUGGCGAACGUUAUCCGGAAUUAUUGGGCGUAAAGGAUGCGUAGAUGGCGUGAUAAGUUAUCAGUGGCAAAUCGGGGCUCAACCUCGUGGAAGCUGUUAAUACUAUCAUGCUUGAGUUCAGGAGAAGUUAACGGAACUCCAUGUGGAGCGGUAAAAUGUGACGAUAUAUGGAAGAACACCGAUAAGGCGAAGGCAGUUAACUAUUCUGUUACUGACAUUGAGGCAUGAAAGCGUGGGGAGCAAAACGG
rnacentral:rRNA from 1 species